GUAGGUGAAGGGCAGCCGCCCUCUUGCGCCCUGUUUCAGUCCUCCAGUCGCUGUUGAAUGGAGUUUCCGUCUCCAGUCUCAGCCAAAGCAGGCAAGGCGGACAACCUCGGCCUGGCAACCAGAUCCAGCCUUUGCCUCUGCACAAGUCUCCUGGGAGGUGUCAUUGUCCCUGCUGUUUCCCUCUUCAUGUCUCCUUUGGUCCCUGCCCCUUUCCUGAUCUUGCCCACUGACCCCAAAAGACGUAGGAAAAAUGUUCAAAAUCAUUACUCGUUAGGGAAACACAAAUUAAAACUUCAGUGAUGAGCUACCUUUAUGCAUUGCUAUGGUCUGAAUGUUUGUGUGUCUGCGUCCCCUCACCAAAUUUAUUUGUUGAACUCCUAAUCCCCAAGUUGGUGGUAAUAGGAGGUUUAGGCCCUUGGAAGCUG
rnacentral:lncRNA from 1 species